CAAUAGCGUAUAUUAAAGUUGUUGCGGUUAAAAAGCUCGUAGUUGGAUUUCUGCUGAGAACGACCGGUCCGCCCUUUGGGUGUGUAUCUGGCUCUUUCUUGGCAUCUUCUUGGUGGACGUUGCUGCACUUGACUGUGUGGAGCGCUACCCAGGACUUUUACUUUGAGGAAAUUAGAGUGUUUCAAGCAGGCAUACGCCUUGAAUACAUUAGCAUGGAAUAAUAAGAUAGGACCUCGGUUCUAUUUUGUUGGUUUCUAGAGCUGAGGUAAUGAUUAAUAGGGAUAGUUGGGGGCAUUCGUAUUUAACUGUCAGAGGUGAAAUUCUCGGAUUUGUUAAAGACGGACUACUGCGAAAGCAUUUGCCAAGGAUGUUUUCAUUGA
rnacentral:rRNA from 1 species